AAAAGAAAGCUUCCUGUGGGCAGAUUUCAGAGCAUACACCAACGCUAGUGAAGAAGUGGCCUGCGGAAAGGGUAUAUACGGAUUCCCGAGCAGUGGAAAGUGACUGGAUGAGAUGGUCAGUGCUUACGAGGAACAAGGACAAAGAGGAGGCAAGAAUGGCCUCAGAACGUCCGCACACCUUGGGGGAGCGGAUGGCGCCGAAAGAUCCGUGAUCGCAUGUUAAAACCUACUAGAGAUAACUAUCAUUUUUUCCUUUUUUCUAGAGACCCCCAUCUCAUACAACGUUUUCCAGAGUCAGGCAGACACUGAAUGGUGCUCAGCUUCCCUGAGUUGUCCACUGUUUUUGCCGCGGGGCAGUGAAGCCGUGGUGGCAAUGAUGGAAACUAAGCGUGGAUCCAAACCCACGUGCUCCUCUCACCAAGGCUGGCCUAGCUGCUGCCGCUACUGAAUUCCCUCCUUCUGGGAUCAGAGAGUGAUGCUGAGUCUUUGAUCCAGCCUCAACUGGGAAGGCCUGCAGGUCCACUGGCGCCAGUGCACUGGCACUUCCUCAGUCCACCGCGAAAUGUUAAAGAAUAACAGAUGUAACCCAGCAAAACUUUGACCAAUUCAGCAAGUUCACUAUGAACAAUGCCCAGUGGCUCUUUCUGGACACGGCACAGGAAGCUGCAAAUGGACGGGGAAGAGACUUCUGCUAUGAUUUCUGCUUUUAUUUUAGUUUAAACAUUCUUAGAGGAUAGCCCAGGUUAAGCCAGACAUCCUGUUUACAGUGGGGCAGUACUGCAGAGUGUGGGCGGGAAGGGGACAAUGCGCUCACGGCGGCUUCCUGCCCCGUCCGAAGGGGCCACACAAGCUUCGCCACCCCGGACUGCAGACUGAACGCCGCUGAAAAGGGGGUUUGAGUAGCUCUUCGGUACAUGGAUCUCCGUGUUUAUGGGGAUGAAUGUUAUUUUGUGUAAUAAAUGAUUAUGAAUUAUUUAUA